AGGAAGGGCUCCCUUUUCCCCUCCGCUCCUGCUCCAGCAGCACGAUGUGAUCCACCAGCAAGGAGGGACACCACUAAGGCAUCUGGUGGUCAAGCUCCUGGAGGUGACAUGAAACCUUCGAUACCUUCAGGGACCAUCUAUAGCCAACAUCUGCAGCUCUUAAAAGCCUUCAACUGAGAACAAAGCCUGGUCCAUCUGCUUACAGAAUGUGGUCUGUUUUAUUAUAACCUAGAAGCUUACACUAAUCUCACUUAAAAAUAGCUUCAUAAAAGAAUACUUGAACAAAUAUCCGGAUAUCUUGGAUGAGUCAGGUUGAUACAGUUAAUCAUAAGAGACAGCAAUAUCAUCUUUGUUGGCAUAGCCUGGUUCACCUACCAUCGUCAAGACCUGCAAGGAAUCUGUGCGCCAGAAAUUAAAGUUUCAAUGGGCUGCAUCUUAAACAGGCCCACUUCUGUCUAUAGCCUGGAUCCAGAAGACUUUUGGGAGAGAUGGGAUACAAAACUAUCCACCACUUCCAGAAAGUCCAGUCUUCCUGUUAUGAUGAGCUGUUACGUGGAAGCCUAAGGUGAAGUACUUUGCUACACGGUUUGGUGAUGCCCGUGUUUUGCCACAGCAGCUGAGAAGCCAGCUAGAACAACCAGGAAAGAGAAGACAUGGGUGCAUGUUAGCAGCUCACAAAGGCUGAGAGAAUUCACUUCCCAACUCUGCAUUCAAAGACUUGCUGGCAGUCUGGAAUUGGUCACGGAUCGAAGUUGCAAAAACAAACAAACAAACAAAACCCAUUGGAAACUGCUGUCAAUCUAUGUGGAGGUCCUAGGGCGACUCAGCAGUUUGUUUUCUGGUUGUCCAGUAGAUGGCAGUCUACGCACUGGUUUUUCAUUGACCGUCUUCCAUGCAGGAUUCAGCCUUAACCAUGAAAUGAAACACGCUCUUGUUAUUUUGUGUCAUUAUUUUUGAAAAACAUUUUAAUAAAAUAAAGUAAAUAAAAUAUUUACUUCAAAUAUCCACAAA
rnacentral:lncRNA from 1 species